GGUAAAUCCUAAACAGACCCCAUGCUAGGUUAAUUGUAGGGUUUAACAUUAUCAUUGACCAUCUUUUUGAUCUCUCAACCACUAGUCACCACCUGAUCCAACCACUCUGAACCACCAGACCGUCCAAUGAACCACGUACCACCAUAUCCAACUACUUACCACAAGACAACCCAUUCAUCCACCACCGACCCACCCAACCACCACCACUGUAAACCUCACCCAUCAACCCAACCACCACGUGACCCCUCAACCCCAAUACCGCCCAUCCAACCACCAGAUUCUUGCACCUAGUUAACUCAACCACCGAAAACACCUACCCACUGAAAAACCUAUCCACCGAAAAACACCCACCCACUUUAAAAAGUUACAAUUUUGUUGAAAAAACGUUGAAAAAAACGUAAAAAAAAAAAGAAGUUUGUAACCCUAACCCUCGAAAUUCAAAUACGAACCCGUUGAAUUUGCGCCAUUAGAAGUGAAAUUCCAUUUCUCCAUACGGAUUACAGUUUACAGAAUAGAAUCUACAUUCAUACACAUCAACUUAUUCCAGUUUUCUUUUCUAUCUGAAAAGCUCGAUUUCGAAUUUCCAGCAUCAAUUCAUUUAAAAGAAAUUGAAAGAAUUUUUUCGACGAUUUCGAAAAAGUGGUUUGUUCCGGACUAAUUUUACUAUAUAUUGUAAGUUCUGAUAUUAAUCAUGGAAGCUAAUGGUGGCCUUUGAUUCUCGUCUUUUAUUAUCCAAUUUCUUCUCUUGCAGCUCCAGAGACAUUCACUAUGGUAUUAAUUCGUAGUUACAAAUGAUUCAGGUUGGAAUAUACUUGGUUUUGUAGCAACUCACAAUCAUGCUGUGCCGUAUACCAGGAAUCAUCCUUCAUUUGGAUCAUAAGCGUGGCCUGUCCUAUGUCAUUCAGAGUAAAUUUGCAUCCUUGCACGGUGGACAUUCGGGGCAGGAGGACAGGGGCCUUACAUCUCCUGGUUUGGAUAGCAUAGGAACCUAUAGAAAUUUUCAGGUCUCAAACCAUGGUGUAGAAGAUGUGUGCAAAAUCUUAGAGAGUGAUGCUUGGGGCCCUGGUAUCGAAACAGCUUUAUCUGAGGUCAGCCAAAAGCCGCAGCAAGAACUAAUUAUAUCAGUCUUGAAGAAGCUAAAGGAUGUCAAUAUAGCCAUAAAUUAUUUUCGGUGGACUGAGAGGAGCAUUAACCAAGUACAUUGCCCAGAAGCUUAUAAUAGCCUCCUCAUGAUCAUGGCUAGAAGUAAACAGUUCCAUAAUCUUCAAGAGGUUUUGGAGGAGAUGAGUUAUGCUGGUUUUGGUCCGUCUAAUAACACAUGCAUUGAAUUUGUCUUAUGCUGUGUAAGAUCUCAUAUGUUAGAUGAAGCUUUCCAAUUUAUACAAACUAUGAGGAAGUUUAAGUUCCGACCUGCCUUUUCAGCCUACACAACGCUUAUAGGAUCUCUUUCUGUAGUUAGCAAGCCCGACCUUGUGCUUACUCUCUUUCGACAGAUGCAAGAAUUAGGUUAUGAAGUUAAUGUGCACUUGUUUACAACUGUCGUCCGAGUUUUUGCCCGAGAAGGGAGAAUCGAUAUUGUUCUUUCUCUGCUAGAUGAAAUGAGAAACAAUGCUUUUGUGGCAGACAUUGUUCUGUAUAAUGUAUGCAUUGACUGUUUUGGAAAGCUUGGCAAGGUGGAUAUGGCCUGGAAAUUCUUUCAUGAAGUGAAAGCACAGGGUUUCAUGCCUGACGAUGUGACUUAUACCAGUAUGAUCGGGGUUUUAUGCAAAGCUAAUAGGCUUGAUGAAGCAGAAGAGCUUUUUAAUCAGAUGGAAGAUGGUCGGGAAGUUCCAUGUGCAUAUGCAUAUAGCACUAUGAUUAUGGGUUAUGGCUCAGCUGGGAUGUUUGAAAAAGCAUAUAUGCUACUGGAGAGGCAAAAGGAAAAAGGGUCCAUUCCAAAUGUAAUUGCUUACAACUGCAUUCUUACUUGCCUGGGUAAGAGAGGGAAGGUAGAAGAGGCCUUGAAAUUAUUUGACGAUAUGAAGAAAGAUGCGGCACCUAACCUUUCAACAUAUAAUAUUCUUAUAGACGCACUAUGUAGUGUAGGGAAUGUUGGUGCUGCUUUUGAGUUACAAGAUUUCAUGAAGGAAGCUGGCUUUUUUCCUCAUGUUACGACAGUGAACAUUAUGAUCAAUCGUCUGUGUAAGGCCCAUAAACUUGAUGAAGCUUGUUCCAUAUUUGAAGGGCUGGACCACAAAUUCUGCACCCCAAAUGCUGUAACAUUUUGCACCUUAAUAGAUGGUUUAGGUCACAAUGGUAGAGUGGAUGAUGCAUACAGAUUGUAUGAAAAGAUGCUGGAUUCUGGCCAUGCUCCAAAUGCUGUUGUAUUUACAUCCCUAAUAAAGAAUUUCUUCAAUGUUGGCAGGCCAGCAGAUGGUCACAAGGUUUACAAGGAAAUGCUUCGUAGUGGCUGCACUCCUGACCUGACCCUUCUUAAUACUUACAUGGAUUGUGUUUUUAAAGCUGGUGAGGUAGAUAAAGGCAGAGCAUUAUUUGAUGAAAUCAAGAGCAGAGGGUUUGUUCCAGAUGUCCGGAGCUAUUCAGUAUUGAUUAAUGGUCUUGUUAAGGCAGGCUUUGCACGCGAAACCUAUCGGCUAUAUUACUCGAUGAAGGAACAAGGUUAUACCUUGGAUACUCGCGCAUACAACAUUGUUAUAGAUGGAUUUUGCAAGUCAGGUCAGGUGAACAAGGCCUAUCAGUUGCUGGAGGAAAUGAAAACAAAAGGUGUUGUGCCCACUGUGGUCACUUAUGGCGCUGUAAUUGAUGGGCUUGCAAAGAUUGAUAGGCUUGAUGAAGCAUAUAUGCUCUUUGAAGAAGCUAAAUCAAUUAGGAUAAAUUUAAAUGUGACUGUUUAUAGUAGCCUUAUAGAUGGCUUUGGGAAAGUUGGUAGAAUUGAUGAAGCAUAUCUAAUCAUGGAAGAGAUGAUGCAAAAUGGCUUGACACCUAAUGCGUACACAUGGAAUUCGCUGCUUAAUGCACUGACCAAGGCAGAGGAGAUAAAUGAAGCCCUUGUGUGCUUCCAGUCGAUGAAGGAUUUGAAAUGCACUCCAGAUGCUUUUACUUACAGUAUCCUCAUUGAUGGUCUUUGUCGUGUUCGCAAAUUCAACAAGGCCUUUGUAUUUCUUCAAGAUAUGAAGAAACAAGGACUAGAGCCAAAUGCAGUAACCUAUACUACCAUGAUAUGUGGUCUUGCAAAAGCUGGCAAUGUAGCUGAGGCUUAUGCACUUUUCAAGAAGUUCAAAGAAAAAGGAGGUAGACUUGAUUCAGCUUGUUAUAAUGCUACAAUAGAGGGGCUAAGCAUUGCAAAUAGGGCUUUGGAUGCAUAUUUGCUUUUUGAAGAAGCUCGGCGGAAAGGAUUCGAAAUUCAUUCCAAGACAUGUGUUGUUCUUUUAGAUGCAUUGCAUCGAGCUGAAUGUCUUGAACAGGCAGGAUUUGUGGGUGCAAUUCUUAAGGAAACAGCAAAUGCGAAGCAUGCGUCAAGAGUUUUUUGAUUACAAUUGUAUUGGUUGCAGCUUUUAAAGCGUGGUGAAGCAUGUGUCUGUGAUCAGGCGGACUAGGUUCUCUUAUUGAAAUACUUCUUUCCUUCUUUUCUGUACAAAACUCUCGUACAUCUCGCUCAGCUUUCCUCCUUCCUGAAUGGGCAUCAUUCUGUGAUUUUAUGAAAAAUCUUCUAUAACAAUUAUUGAUGCCAAGAUUUUCUUGCUUAUGUGCGUGAUAUGAAGUGUGCGGAAAUUCGAAUUCCUUGGGUAUAUAUUAGAGAACCAGCUUUCAAAGUGAAAUAGAUUUCUUCAUCAUAUAGGAGAUAUGUAGUGCAACCCACAAUAAUUUCUAGAAACAGCUUACUGUAAUCAGUUUAAACCGAGUAGCUGUGACUGGAUACUUGGAUGCAUAAAACAGAUGCCAGAUUCCUCCCAGAUCAAUCUCUUCCUCGGACCCUAGAUUGCUAGAAGAGCAACAAAGAAAGCCUUUUUUUUAAUUAUUAUCAGCUGGAGUUAUUUCAACAGGAGGGAUAUAGCUAGCAAUUUUUUUUUUCCUCCUAAAUUCAGAAUUUUCUCCAGUAGCCGCAGUUGAAAGUUCCUAUGUGAGCAAUAAACUCUGCAACAAAAUCUGAUACCCAUCAAAUGUAACACAAAAUAUUAUAAAAGAAAAGAGCAUAUUUACAAGCCAUAUAUGAUUCUUUUCACAUA